rnacentral:rRNA from 1 species
CAAAGCAGUAAAAUCUUCUGAUUAAAACUUAAAGAGCAUGGCGGCCACGAAAACUAUCAGGGGAACUUACCGAGUAAUAGACAACCCUCUAGGGUCUUUUCCUCUUAACUUAAAGCUUGUAUACCGCCGUCUUCAGGCCUAUCUUUAGGAGGGGCCUAACUUAACAUAAGACAGGCCAUGGUGCAGCCUAUGUAAGAGAUCAGGCGAGUUACAUUAACAGUUUGACCUGCGGAUUUUCGGGAGAAUCACUGAGAAAAAGCUGGACUUGAAAGUAAUCCUUAUACCAGUACGAUUAAAUUUUGAAUGUUUAUUUUGUGGUGU